rnacentral:lncRNA from 1 species
CAAGCUUAUGGCAUUGAGCACUAACUGUUUUUGAAAUUACUUCUGAGUGUGAGUGUUGAAUAAAUCCUUAUACCAUGAAUGUCAUUCAUUCUAGGAAAAAGGGGACUUCGUUUGAAGUAAGGGCACUAGUUACAUUAUCGGAAAGUUGGUAUCUUGGUGAUAGUGAGAAGGGGUAUGUUGUGUGUCAGUUGGUCGAUCUAUGUCAUGGUAUGAACCACAUGAAUUAG